rnacentral:lncRNA from 1 species
UGGUAUUUUAUAUGUCGUGGUAUUCAUUUGUAUUGUCCGUUUCAGGUCAUAUAACUUGAUUUUUGUGUGAAUAUAUUCCAUACUUGCUAAAAGUUCUUGAUAAAACAUUUGGAUGAUAACUCCCUAAUCUUAACACCAUUUCCUGCCUUCUCUCAUGCUAAGGACUAGUGUUGCAUUAAUGCCUAUAGUUUAACUAUGCAUGUGGGUGUCUUGAAAUUUUAACUGCUCUGUCAAAAAGGAAAAAGAAAAAAGAAAAAAGAAAAAUGAAAGAAAGAGAUUGGGGGAAAGGUCUUUUGAAAUUUUCAGCAUUCAAUUGGAAUCAUAUUGCAACGGGCUGAUGGGGUUAAAGCUGUUUGGGAUUGAGAAGCAGCUCCGAGACACAAUUCUUACUAUGAAGAGGCUUCUGACUUCUGUAGGGGCAAUUUUUGUUAACAUCUGCAUCAUAGGAGCAUUUAGCUUCAUUAUCUAUGUACUAUGUUUGCUUGUUCAGUGGGAAUGCUGUUGUAUGAUAGACCUUAUGAUUACUUUUGAUUAACACUUAAUAAGAAAGUUGAUAAAUAGUUAAAUACUGCAACCUUAUUUUCACUCCCCUAGCAUUUCCUAACAGUUUUCACCACUUGUUUCUGUUCUGUAAUUGAAAGUGGAUUCCAUAUGAGAGUAAUAUUUGAGUGUUCUUAGUUUCUGUUCUGUAAUUGAAAGUGGAUUCCAUAUGAGAGUAAUAUUUGAGUGUUCUUACUUGACUUGUUAAGUUAAAUUGAUGCAGGAAAACUUUGGAUUUGUGUCCUAAAAAGGAUCCAUGAUGAGCUAGAUUUGGAGAAGGAAUUUAGAAAAAAAAAAAAAGGUUUUCACCAUAGCUGUCAAUAGUAACUGAGGUUACUUUAGCAAGAAAGAAGUAGAAGAAAAGGAAGAAGAAGAAGAAAAUAGCAUUUAUGGAGGAAAGAAGAAAAGAAACACCCUAAGCCACAGCCUUCAAACUUGAGCAAAAUACUCAUAAUUACAUCAUUCAAGUCCUUUCCAUGACAUAGAACAUGUGCUCUUCUUAUAGGCACCAAAGCCCCUAAAAGUACUAAACUGAAUGGAGAUAGAAAUUUGAAUAAGAAAAUGAAAACCAUAAGUAAAAUAAAACUCCUAACGAUAUUCUAGUUCCUAAAUAAAACAUAAUUUGUAAAUAAUGAAUUCCUCAAUAGACUAGGUUUACAGAAAAGCUAGAGUAUAUUGAUUGAGAAUUAAGGUAUUCAGAAGCUUCUUCAUGUUGUUUAUAUCAUAAACCUUCAACUACUAAUGUUUAUAUCAGCUUGCUUUUCCUUUUAACUGCACAUACUUUGUGGUAUCUAGUUGGCAAGAAAAUUGAAUUCCUGUAUUAUCCAUUGUAUUUCUGAGACUUUUAUCUUGAGAAUUUGAAUGCCAGGCAU